AUUGAACGCUAGCGGGAUGCUUUACACAUGCAAGUCGAACGGCAGCGCGGACUUCGGUCUGGCGGCGAGUGGCGAACGGGUGAGUAAUGUAUCGGAACGUGCCCAGUAGCGGGGGAUAACUACGCGAAAGCGUAGCUAAUACCGCAUACGCCCUACGGGGGAAAGCAGGGGAUCGUAAGACCUUGCACUAUUGGAGCGGCCGAUAUCGGAUUAGCUAGUUGGUGAGGUAAUGGCUCACCAAGGCGACGAUCCGUAGCUGGUUUGAGAGGACGACCAGCCACACUGGGACUGAGACACGGCCCAGACUCCUACGGGAGGCAGCAGUGGGGAAGUUUGGACAAUGGGGGCAACCCUGAUCCAGCCAUCCCGCGUGUGCGAUGAAGGCCUUCGGGUUGUAAAGCACUUUUGGCAGGAAAGAAACGUCGCGGGCUAAUACCCCGUGGAACUGACGGUACCUGCAGAAUAAGCACCGGCUAACUACGUG
rnacentral:rRNA from 1 species